GUGUCUAAAAACAAUAUUCAGUUAAUGGAAUUACACUUUUUUCCAUUACUGCUUGCUUGAUAUUGCCCUAACAACUUUUUCAUGAAUCAAUUUUGAGCAUUAUGUUUACAACGUAGUUAUUAUAGCACGAAUUAUGAGUCUAAAAUGCCAAAUACUUGCAACUAUUAUGUUAAUCACUGAAAUCUUAGUGUACUAAUUGCUCGCUAUAAGCUAGGUUAUUGCGCCCCUAAACCAACGUACUGACAACGCUACCUCCCCGGAAUUACUCAAACUUUAACUGAACAGUGAUCACGGGCUGUGGGAAUUGCGAAGGGAUGGUGUAGAGUAUCGCCACAACAAUGUUGAUAUGAUCACUCGUCGUUUCAGCGGGCAUGACUUGGUACAUCCAGUGACCCAGCAAAAAGUAGCCUCGGUACAGCCAGAAGUAGCAACAAAUCUCAAAAGGGGAUCCUUGUCUGACUGGUGGCUGGACCACAUGACACUUGUUGGAAAAGGAAGGACCAAAGGUGCCAUCGUCGAGGGCCCAGAUAGAUGAAGAGAUUGAAGCCUGGGCUGCACACAAUCCUGUUAGUAACAAAAAAAGAAGGAAAAAAUGCUGUCCCAUUUGUCCAUAUGCCCAGCGCCAGAACCCAUUUAUACAUCUGGGUAGUGAGAAAAUCUAGGAAGAAGUCGCCACCCACUGAUGAUCUCAUCCAAGUUUACCAAAGACUCCAAAGCAGUGUAGGAGAGGAAUGGUGGCCUGUUCGAACAGGCAUGGACUGAAUCGCCAGCUCUCAUCUCCCUAGUCACUCUGAUGGCCACGUGUCGCUCCUCGAUCAACAGCGAUUUCAAUGACUGAUGCGUUGAUGUGGGCAAAAAGUGAAUCCUUUCUCGCCUUUGAACUCUGGUGUUCGUCGUAUCAAUCCAUUUUGAUUGUCGAGCAACUUGUGGGCACACCUCAACUUGUUAGUGGGAAGUAAUUUGCAAUAGAGUGACUUACUUUUAUUGCUAUAUUUUAUUGUAUUUUUUCACUUCACAUCAUUGUUAUUUUGAAAAAUCCUGCCAAAAUUCUGUUGACUGUUUGUUGUCGACAAGAGUCUAUGUUUCAUGAAUAACAAGGCUGUGUUCUGUACAUUGUA